GCGCUCGUAGCUCAGCUGGACAGAGCACCAGACUUCGAAUCUGGGGGUCGGGAGUUCGAACCUCUCCGAGCGCGCCA
rnacentral:tRNA from 1 species